ensembl:lncRNA
GCUGAAUGACUCAGGGAAUAACAGCAAGUUCUACUGGUUAAGUUCACUGGAGGGAGGUUUUAAAUUUGAGUAUCCAGCCCUCAGUGUGGUUCAGCUGCGGUUUCUACGGCUCCAGAGCAACAGAGCAGAACAGAGAGUGAUGUACUCCUGUUACCCUGGACACCGACUGGGCCAGACACAGCGACAGGUCCAGUUCCUCACAGACGCUAUAAAGCAGAGCUAUUUAGGAGAACUGCAGGAUUGUGUGUCUGCAAAGGAAGUGGAUCCCGGACCGCGCGAGUCCAUGUUUCAGUUUGAAGACAUGGACCUGCUUCCUUUACGUGAUAUAGGAAUGUUGGGCAACAGCAGCCACGAGUUUGGCUUCACCAUUGGCCCUGUGUGCUUCAGCUAGAGACACCCUGAAUGAUAACGGUACAUCCUGUGCAUUUAACCUUAAAUACAAGCACCAAAGAGAAGAAAACAGGACACUCUGAAGACACAUGCAGCAUCUACGGCUCGUGGUAAGGAAAUACGCUAAACAGAGUCCUGUCUAUCCCUGUGCUUCCAGACAAAUGGACAAUAUCCUUUUUUGUUUACAGGGACUUUUGGCUUUGUAAUUAAUGUACUAUUUUUAUAAUAAUUCUGUUUGUUUUAGCAAUGUUUUUUAAUCACUAGCUGGUCUUGUAAUAACAUUGUAGAAGAAGCUUGGAUCGUAUCAAGUGUAAUGACAGGGUUCUGACGUGACCACUAUGUGGUUGCAUGGUUUAAGUUUCAGCUGUUUACUAUUUAAUCAUGUACAAAUGGUUAUCAUGGAUUAACUGGUUAUUAUGCAUUAUUUAGGUGAGUGUAUGAAUGACACUUUUUCCCCUCUCGUUUAAGUGUCUAACUUGAAUUGUAGGACUGAUAGAAACAAAGCGUCCCAGUGAGGACACAGCUAACCUUCCCAUGAGGUUUGGAUAUCAGGAAGUCUGUGCUACCUUUCUGUUUUCUCUGUUCAUGUCAUGAUUUGGUUUCAGAAAUGGUCAUGUUACCUAAAUAUGUAUGUUAGAUGAUUUAUGGGUGCUAAUAUUUACAAUUCAGCAGUAACAGUUGUUUCAAAAAGAGAAGAAUAAUACAAACUGCAGCAAAGCUGGUUAAUAAAUGUGCAAGCAGUGAUCUGCAUUAUGAAUAUGAGACUGAAAGUCAGUACACAUGCAUAAAGUCAUAGAGACAAGUGUCCUUCAGUUCACAUUUAUUGUAUGUAGGUCUCAGGGAGCACUUACAAAUAUGACAUAAAUACAAAAAAAAAAACAAAACACAAAUGAUAUAGGUAAAAUAGGUUAAUAUGUUGAGAUUAAUCAAACAAAGCCAAAUACAAGUGUCGUUCAUCAUUAUCAUUUUAAAUCACAUUGAAUUUAGGCACAGGUGCUUUGUUUUGGAAAACUUUUUGUUCUAAAACAUUUUGUACUGUAUAUUGUGUUUUCUAUGUAUUUGUGGUGACAUCGAAAUCACAUGCUGGUCAUCUGUUUGAGCAUCAGCUAUAAAAAGUGCAUUAAUGUAUCAUUUCAGUCGUGUUGGAC